rnacentral:ncRNA from 1 species
GUUCAAACGAGGAAGGGCUUACAGUGGAUACCUAGGCACCCAGAGACGAGGAAGGGCAUGGUAAGCGACGAAAUGCUUCGGGGAGUUGAAAAUGAGCAUAGAUCCAGAGAUUCCUGAAUAGGUUAACCUUUUUAACUGCUGCUGAAUCCAU